rnacentral:rRNA from 1 species
GACGAACGCUGGCGGCGUGCUUAACACAUGCAAGUCGAGCGGUAAGGCCCCUUCGGGGGUACACGAGCGGCGAACGGGUGAGUAACACGUGAGUAAUCUGCCCUUCACUUCGGGAUAACCGCCGGAAACGGCGGCUAAUACCGGAUACGACCAGCCCCUGCAUGGGGUGCUGGUGGAAAGUUUUGUCGGUGGAGGAUGUGCUCGCGGCCUAUCAGCUUGUUGGUGGGGUAACGGCCUACCAAGGCUUCGACGGGUAGCCGGCCUGAGAGGGUGACCGGCCACACUGGGACUGAGACACGGCCCAGACUCCUACGGGAGGCAGCAGUGGGGAAUAUUGGACAAUGGGCGAAAGCCUGAUCCAGCAACGCCGCGUGAGGGAUGGCGGCCUUCGGGUUGUAAACCUCUUUCAGUACCGACGAAGCGCUCCUAGGAGUGGUGACGGUAGGUACAGAAGAAGGACCGGCCAACUACGUGCCAGCCGCCGCCGUAACAC